rnacentral:rRNA from 1 species
UACGGAGGGUGCAAGCGUUAUCCGGAUUCACUGGGCUUAAAGCGUGCGCAGGCGGUUCGCUAAGACCGAUGUGAAAUCCCCGGGCUUAACCUGGGAACUGCAUUGGUGACUGGCGAGCUAGAGUGUGGCAGAGGGGGGUAGAAUUCCACGUGUAGCAGUGAAAUGCGUAGAGAUGUGGAGGAAUACCGAUGGCGAAGGCAGCCCCCUGGGCUAACACUGACGCUCAUGCACGAAAGCGUGGGGAGCAAACAGG